rnacentral:rRNA from 1 species
AUUGAACGCUGGCGGAAUGCUUAACACAUGCAAGUCGAACGGUAACGAUGGUAGCUUGCUACCAGGCGACGAGUGGCGGACGGGUGAGUACAACUUAGGAAUCUGCCCAGUAGUGGGGGACAACUCGAGGAAACUCGAGCUAAUACCGCAUACGACCUUCGGGUGAAAGUGGGGGAUCUUCGGACCUCACGCUAUUGGAUGAGCCUAAGCCGGAUUAGCUUGUUGGUGGGGUAAUGGCCUACCAAGGCGACGAUCCGUAGCUGGUCUGAGAGGACGAUCAGCCACACUGGGACUGAGACACGGCCCAGACUCCUACGGGAGGCAGCAGUGGGGAAUAUUGGACAAUGGGGGCAACCCUGAUCCAGCAAUUCCGCGUGUGUGAAGAAGGCCUGCGGGUUGUAAAGCACUUUCAGUGGAGAAGAAAAGCGUUGGGUUAAUAACCCGGCGUCUUGACGUUAACUACAGAAGAAGCACCGGCUAACUCCG